ACACAUGAACAACUUUCAAAAAAUUUCUCCAAUCUCAAUUCAAUAAAUAUUUUGCGUUAAAACUGUUAGCAUAACACUCGAGCUAUUAAUUUACGUCACAGUAUUUUUUUUUUUCAAUCGAAAAGGGAAAUAACCGAUUGAUCACACAUUAAUGCUGAAUUAUGUGUUUGUGUGGUUACAUUGGAAGAGACAAUACAAAAUAGGUGAUGUGGCCUCUGCUAACGUUGGGAGGUCACAACCCCCAGUGAUCUGUAGAAGUAUUCCACUCGGCAUGAUUAACGUAUCAACAAUUUAUAUAUUUCCCAUUACUUUCGUCACAAUGGCAAUGUCGUAUCGCACUACCCCAAGCAGAGAGGUCACCAUUGACCACUGAUUGAGCCGGCAAUAUCACAGUGUAAAUAAUUAUCAUGCGUGUACCACGUUGAAUGGUACGAAGAGAAAUAUCCAGUGGAAAUUACGGAGCUCAAGUUCACGUACCGAUUACGAAGCAAAUUUCUCAAUUUCAUGUUCCAAUUAUCGGUGUGUGACUUUUAACUUCAUGAAACAAUGAAUAUUGAAUACCGGAAAGGUCACUAGUACAAAAUUAUAAUCCACAUGCGGCACAGUAGUUGAAUCGUCAGUGAGUAAUCAUAGGAAAUUGUUCGGCUAAACAUUAUGCAAUUUUAUACAAAAGAAUAGCUUAUCAGUUUGUCUCCUUUCGCUAAUUUGUCUACACCUCUGAUAUUCUGUAGCGUAAAUAUUAGAAAAAUAAUACGAUAAUGAUGUUUAUAAUUGACUGUUCUGAGGCGAAGGAGAGUGAAGUUCUUCCUGGGGAGGCCAACAGCAAUUCGAAAUUUUGGAAUGACUCAUGGGGAAUGGGUUUUGUUAAUGUUAAGAGUGAAAUUAUUGAAAAACGAAAAAGGGAAAGAAGAAACGGGGCAAGAAAAGGGCGUUAACGUCGCGGAGACUGACGGCCGCGAUGGCGCUAGUCUCACGUAAGAUUCAUACAUACAUCGAUGAAUAAGGGACUCAGCAGUGGGGGUACGUAGUGAAAGUGAGUCAACGGUCAACCAUUGUUUAGGAAGCCUCGAUGGGCCUUCAGUGAUUCUCAUCAGACCAACAAAUACAUUUUAAAAAACCGAAAUAAAUGGUUAAAAAAGAAAACAGAAUGAUUACUCAACUUUUGUAUCAAAAUCCAGCCACAUUUUUCUUCCCCAUGGACGUUCACUUUCGAUUCAACUUUUCGCUUUCACCAGAUUUGACAUUGAGAAGCACUCGUACUACGUUAAGUGCCACGGCCUUCACCGUCCAUUGGCAUUAAUUAUGCAAUAAGCCAGUUGCAUGACAUCAGAGACUAUCCUGGGGAUGCCAAAUACCUUUUACCACCAAUGGGGUUCGCUAAAAAAAU